UACGUAGGGGGCGAGCGUUGUCCGGAAUGACUGGGCGUAAAGGGCGUGUAGGCGGCUCUUUAAGUUUGGAGUGAAAGUCCUGUUUUUAAGAUGGGAAUAGCUUUGAAUACUGGAGAGCUUGAGUGCGGAAGAGGUAAGUGGAAUUCCCAGUGUAGCGGUGAAAUGCGUAGAGAUUGGGAGGAACACCAGUGGCGAAGGCGACUUACUGGGCCGUAACUGACGCUGAGGCGCGAAAGCGUGGGGAGCGAAC
rnacentral:rRNA from 1 species